GUCGCAAGACUGAAACUCAAAGGAAUUGACGGGGACCCGCACAAGCAGUGGAGUAUGUGGUUUAAUUCGAAGCAACGCGAAGAACCUUACCAGGUCUUGACAUCCCUCUGACCGGUACAGAGAUGUACCUUUCCUUCGGGACAGAGGAGACAGGUGGUGCAUGGUUGUCGUCAGCUCGUGUCGUGAGAUGUUGGGUUAAGUCCCGCAACGAGCGCAACCCUUGAUCUUAGUUGCCAGCA
rnacentral:rRNA from 1 species